ACUGUGGAUUAGAAAUUUCUUAUUAAAGUUAGAGUCACUAAUAGACUCCCAUGAGUACAAUUAAAUGUAAAAGAAGUCAGUUGUACAUAUAUAUAUAUAGCCAAAGUGGUAGCUGAUAGGCGAAGACUGGUUAGGAAAAUAAUGAAAGCUGGUUCUUUCAGAAAUGCCACAGUAAGUAGCAUGCAUAUUUCCCUACCAAUCUCCUACAGAGUUAGCAGAUUAUGUGGGACGAAAUAUAUCUUCUGUAUUCCUAGCUGAAAAUUAAUGGAAAAAUAAAUCUGUAAUCAUCACAUAUUAACUUUAAAAAGCAAAUAGUCUUAGUGCUAUGCUAAAUGAAUGUUAGUAUACAGAAUUCAAAUUUAAUGUAUUUUCAAAAUUAGCCUGUCUGUAGUUUUCUACAUAAAAAAUAUUAACAGAAAUGACAUAAAUCAUCAAAUGAUCUUGGUUUUAAUUAAUUUCAAUGAUUCUCUAUAAACAUAUGAUUAUAAAUGCACUGAACCAUCAUUAUAAAAUAAUUUCUAUACCAUGAAGUACCAUGAGGGUUAAGGAUUAAAUAAUAGCCCCAUUAACUGUAUUAAGAUUUAAUAUCUGUAAUUCUCACUUUUGGUCUAUCUAUCAUCUAUCUUCUUGUUAUUUUCUCAGUUCUUUCAAAUAAGACUUUUGUUAUGAAUCAACUAAAAUUCAACUGAAUAAUCACAUCACAUGCAAUUAUGUUUUAUAUAUAACAUAAUAACAUUUUAAUAUUAAUUUGUUUGUAGCUAAAUAAAACACUUAUUUAUUGUCUGUAUCAAUAAGUAUGUUACAAGCUAGGGUUCAAGAAAAAACUUAAGCAUUUCUUUUUAAAAAAAUGUGUGAAUAUGAAGUUAGGUUUUCUCAAUCCCAGAGAAAACAAUGGGAGGAUUCCUUAAGAAAAAUUGUACUUAUAUUAUUAAUCUGACUCAAACAAUGUAAGCAUGAAUAUGUAAUCUAUAAAAGGGUAGCACUGAGUAGUUUUCAUGAAUUUGAACUCCUAACAAAAUCACCCCUAAAAUUCAUAACGCAAAAAAAAAAAAAAAGAUCAAUUCUAAGUCCUCAGCAUAACCUGCUGCCAGUAUUUGAAACAGCUGAUCACUUUAUCCUUCUAGAAAAACUGCUUUUUCCUUGAUUUUGGGGACGAUUUUGGGGACAUUUCCUUUUCAGAUUUUUAACUUACUACCCUGGUAGAUACUUGUCAGAAUUCUUUGAUGGAUCCUGUUAAUUUUCCCAACUGUUAAAUAUCGUUGAUUCCGUGGACACAGUACUUGCUCCCCUAUUCCCUACCAAAGUUCUCACUGACUUCCUUUUAAAGUACCCUGGAAACUGACAGAUUGGUAGCUUCAACCAGAAAAUUCAGGCACAUAUUUACCACAUUCUUAUGAUUUCUUUUUUUCCUGGAUCCACAAAGAUUGAAACUCGCCACAUGGGGGCACAUUCGUUCACCAUAACUGUGACUAAAAUUGGUGACAUUUUAAUUUGCAGGCAAUUACCUCUACAAACACCUCCCUUCAUUAGAAAUAAAAAUUGAGAUGUUCAAAGCAUCUUACAGGUCAAAGAGCUAAGCCAGAUCCUCACUCAAGCACUCAAGAGUUUUUUUUUUUUUUUUUUCCCGAGAAAAACUCUGGAGGAACAAACAACUUUGAACAUUUUCCCACUGAAGUCCUGGCGUUUUGGCGCUGACAGCGUUAACUUCUACACGGAAGCUGCCCCUCCGCCCUCCAGAAGGAAAGAGGACCCGUAUGGGAGCCGCAGAGAAGCACCUAGAACCCUGGGGCCUGAGGGCCGGCUGGAGGCAACACAGGGCUGAACCCCUGUCAGCCUGCCGGGGGACGCGGUGCCCGCCCUCCGGCAUCCGGGAAACACAGCGUCCCAGCCGGCGCCUGCGCAGGUGCCACACUUCCUGGUCCUCUCUGGCUGCGUCUGAGGGCCUUAGCUCUGGCCAGGGGCGCUGCAACGGGCUCAGCCUUCUAGGGGUGGCGGGUGAAGGCCUACACCUGCCCCAGGACGGCCAGGUCCACCAGCACCUGCAACAGACGGAGAACUGAAGGAGCAUCUUGAAGCUGUGGCUGUCUUGAAGGUGUCGCCGCUUGUCCUCACGAGCACCAUUUUGAUUCUCGUGCCCUGUGUGCAUGGGUGGCCAGCGUUGCUGGUAGGGCUCCUGCACGCUCAGAGUGGCCUUGGCCAGGAAGUCCAGGGUUUCCGCAGGCAGAGUGUAUGAACAAGGUACUGAGAAGAUCACAUACUGCAUGUCCUCCUAAAACCUGGUCCUGGCAUAACCUUCUAAGCUGUUUUAUUCAGGUGUUUAUGGAUUUUGUAUUUGCCCAUGUUUAAUGAGCUUUACAACACUUCCAUCAGAGAACCCAGAAAUAGAGACGAGAAUACAGAACUCGGGCCCAGGGAAAUGGCAGAACCACAGGAGUGGACCAGAGCCUAUGCCUAUAACCCAAAGCCUGUCAACAAAUAAUCACAUCGUGGCAUGGGUGUGUACUUCCUUCCUGUCUGUCUCCAAUCAAGUAAAGGACUGAUUUAAAGAGAAAUGUUUCUAAAACAUGACCUGUGUCCAGUGGAGAUUGUGGAAUAAAGAGAUGAGUGCCAGACCCACCUCCCUGGAGCAUUCUAUACAUAAAGGACUUGAAGUGGUUACCAGUGAUAAGAGGAUGCAGAGAGCAGCUUGGCCUUCCAGAUUCUGGCAGUUCUUCUCAAGACUCAGGUGGACCCCAUGGAAGUUAGCUGAAUUCGAAUUACCUAGAAAAUACACCAGCCCAAGUAAAUCAGCUACCAAUCAGAGUCAUCAUAUCAGUAAGACUACCGGGGAGUGUGUGAGAAAGGUCAUCCAGAAGAAAAUGAAUCUCUUGUAUUAGAAAGAAAUACAGUGGAAGUUUUCCAAGACAGCCUCAAAAAUUCACAAAAGAGCUUUAUAAAGCAGAACACUGAAGAGGUUUCACACCUCUUUAGUGGAACCACAGGGUCCUUGCUCCUCCUUCCCUGUGCUUUCUUUUGUCAUUUUGGGACCAGGAGAUUAAAAGCAAAUAAGGAGAAAAAGUAAAGGUGAAAAUGAGCUAAACAUGAUAAUCCUAUCAUGCCCACUCCCUCCCCACUGCAGUCUCAUAAAACCCAAGUCAGGAACAACUGAGGUUUGAACAUUAGACUUGACUAUGCCUCUUUAACAUCUGUGACUGCUGCAGCGUGUUAGUAAAUGAGGGUAUGCAGAAAACUCAGAGAUAUUCCUGAGAUUCUGAGGAAUCUCAGGGUGAUUUGACAGAAGGUGAUUUGACAAAACACACUUAAAAGACACGUGAGUAAAACAAAAAUUAAACAUGACUUCUGCUAGCUUACUUCACCUCGUUCAAUAAGUCGGCUUUAAAUAUGAAAGAACAACUGAAAAAGACAAACUGGCUCUCAUUCUGUGAAGUAUGACCGUAAAUAAACUGAAUUUGUAAACAUAUUUAAAGAAAGAAUAGGCCAACAAUGAGAAAUGAAGAUGGACAUGCAUGAGAUAAAAUAUUUGCAAAUGAUAUUAGAAGACAAUAUUUCCAAGAAGAUAAGAGAGAGAAAAGAUGGGGCAGGGGUAUGUAAUUAAAUAAAUAAUUACAUAGAAAACUGAUUAUAUCUACAUUUUAUCAAGUGCUUACUAUAUGUGAGGCACUCUGCUAUGCAUUAUGAUGGAUUUAAAGCUAUGAAAAAUAACACAAAGUAAUUAUUCUUAUUCCCAUUGUACAAAAUAGGAAACCGAGUCACAGAGAGAUAAGCCAGAGUGAAGGCUGGUAAAUGUCAGCAGAGACGCAUACAAAGAAAUAAUAAUUAAAAACUUAUUUUUUGAAACAAACUACAUGAGUGCCAGGUCUUAAGAGAACAGAACAGAGACAUUGAAUUCUCCUUAAAAAGGAUUUAGUUUGGCCUUUUGGCCAAUGCGUUUAAUCAAGCUAACCUCAUUUUUCAUUUCACUGAGUCUGUUGGAAAUUAAGCUUGAUCUCAUUAAUGUUGUUUAAGCUGAAUACUUUUGGUGAAAAAAUAACUCCAUUAAGCCAUAAAGACACAAUUAGUGAAAUGUAUUAAAUGUGAUUACAAUGUGACAGAUUAUUUCUAUAAGCAUACCAAGCUUAUAGACUCCAAUGAAUAUUGAACUUUACAAUAUUAACUUUGGAGGAAUAGACCAUAUUGCAAUGAAGCUCUUCUGGUUGAAAACUUUUUUGCCUUCUCUUCAUUUUGAAUUCAGUUCAGAGUGGUUUUCAAGGCAUAUUAAAAAUAUCUUUCUAGAAAAAUAAUAUUUAACCCAGAAUUGUCCUGAAAUGCUUUUUGUGUGUUUCUUGAAAUUGAAUCCAUUUUUUACUUAGAAAACUAUGUAAAUAUUGAAGGCAUUUAUAAGACUGAUAUGUGCUUUCUAAAGAGAUAUUUAAGAGAAAUAUUCCACAAAUAGUUUGAACAAUGGUAGCAUCACCAAUAGAAGCUUAUAGCCUACCAGCUAAUUACUCUGAAAAGAAAGCACUCAGAACAUAUUUGAAAAAUAUCAGCCAUGGAAUUUUAUAUUUAAAAUUUAGCAAUAAUUUACUUAUUGAGUAAUAUUAAAGGCAAGUUUAUGCAUCUAAUAAUAAUGGAUUGAUUCCAAUCAAGAGCUUCGCUACAUUAAGAUUAUAACAUUAGACCAGAAAUGUACUUUGAGUUCACAUAUCACAUGUAUAAACAAAGAAAAUCUUGACUUUAGAAAGGAAAAUGUUAUGCACUAUUGUGGUGUCUGCAGAAUUACAUGCAAUUGCACACAAUUGGCAACAAUUUGGUGAAAUGUGAAACUACUGUAGCUUUAUUUAUGACCACUUUGUGAAUAUCAUAUGGUCAUUUUUAAGAAGAAAAAAUGACACAUGGGAAGUUGAAUGGCAGAAAAUGCAUAAAACAUUUAAAGGGUGAUUGGUUUGCGAGACAGAUUUAUGGAUAAUUUUCCUUUUCAUUUUUUUUAUUUUCUUUCCAUAUUUUUCCUCAUGUUUUCAAAUCUUUCAAUGUGGUCCAGGAUCAUGUACUACCAAAAUGAAAAAAUAUUAAUAUUCAAUACCGAAAUAAAAAUAAAAGGGAUGUAAUUACACAGGCUGUGACUACUAGGAAGUGAAAAAGUUGAGGGCCACUUAAAGGUCACCUAUCACAGUCUGUCCUUUGGCACCCAUGAGUCAUGUCAUUCCAAUAUCCAAAAUAUAUUCAGACCCUUCCAAGGUUUUCAAAAAAUCUGCUCUAAUUAUAGUAUCUGCUUAAAACUGAGAAUCUCAUUUUCUAUAUUAGGUCUAGAUGUGAAUGAGACUUCCUGGUUCCUUAACUACUUCUUCUUGAGUGAAGUUUCACUUGUUCCCUCCCUUUGAAAUUAAAGAAUAUUAUGUAACUUUAAAGCCACUCAAUAGAAAGGGUGGAAUAGACAGAAGAUAACUAUUCCAGACAGUCUUGGAAUAGAAACAGAUGGAAACACAAAGGAAUCACUUUACAGAUGGGAACAGCUGAAAGCACAAAGGAAUCACUGACUCAUGUCAAUCCUGGUAUCCAGUUAGGCAAAUGCUGGAAGUUUUUGAAUAGGACGUAAGUCCCUGGAAUAAUUUUCCAUUGCUUUUGUGUUACCCUUUGAAUUCAUGAUUAUGCCGUCUGAGUUAUCCAACCUUCUCCAUGCUUCCUUUUGCAUGUGUUUGCUGCUGAGCAGGUCUUUCUGCCUGAUUUCUGCCAGUGUUAUUCAGAAGGUCCAAAGGACUCUUUCAGUCUGUGCUGUUUCUGUCUUCCUCAGUAAAUGCUAGUGAUAUUUCUGAAUAUCUAAUUCUUCCAACAAUGUGUGUGUCUUCUGUGAGCCUUCUUGGGAAAUACUCCAUUAGACAAAAACCUCAACUACAGGUCUUUUCUUCCUACCUUUGCCUUCUUCUGAGAUAGAAUGCCCUUAUCAUAAAAGCCCUCAUGUUGAAUUGACAGGGUCUAUGAUAUAUACCUUAUACCUUUAAAAUCUUAGGAAGAUUUCUGGUUUUGGCUUUAUUUUUAGACCAUGUUUUUCUUGCAGGGCUCUGGAUUUUAUCUUUGCUUGGAAAUCAUGUCUUGACUUUAUUACCAGACAGCUUCUGAAGAGGCUAUAUGAUAAUAUAUUGAUAAAGGAAAAACUUCAGCUGAAUUAAAUUUAAAUGAGUUUAAUUGAGCGAUGAAUGAUUCAUGAAUCAGGCAGUCCCCAGAAUCACAGCAGAUUCAGAGAGACUCCAGUGGUACCUUGUGGCCAGAACAAAUUUAUAGACAAAAAAGGGAAAGGACAUACAGAAAUUGGAAGUAAGGUACUGAAACAGCUGGAUUGGUUACAGGUUGGCCUUUGCCUUAUUUGAACACAGUUUGAACACUCAGCAUUGUAUAAGUGGUUGAAGUAUGGCAACUGAGAUUGGCCAAGACUCAGCUAUUGUUACAGGUGCAUACUCCUAAGUUAGGUUUUCAGUCUUGUCUACUUAUAUUAAGUUAUAUUACAGUUUGACCACAAAGAUUCAAAUAUAGAAGUAUAGAGUCCUUCUCAGGCUAUUUUUAGUUUGCUUUAACAAUAUGAAUGCUAUAAUAUAGUAUAUGAAGAAGAUUUUCAAAACUUUCAAGUUUAACUCUCUUUUAUUUAGUAGCUUUUCCUCUGAUUUAUCUGUCUUUUCUCACAUUUUAUUCUACAAAGUGAAAAGUCAGGUAACAUCUUCAAGAAAUUUUUCUCUUUUUUUUUUUUGAGACAGAGUCUCACUCUGUCACCCAGGUUGGAGUGCAGUAGCAUUAGCUCACUGCAGCCUCCACCUCCCGGGUUCAAGCAAUUCUCCUGCCUCAGCCUCCCCAGUAGCUGGGAUUACAGGCAUCUGCUGCCUAGCCCAGCUAAUUUUUGUAUUUUAGCAGAGAUGGGGUUUCCCCAUGUUGGCCAGGAUGGUCUUGAUCUCUUGACCUUCUGAUCGGCCCACCUCGGCCUCCCAAAGUGCUGGGAUUACAGGUGUGAGCCACCGUGCCUGGCCAAUAAUUUGUUUUAAAAUAUUAGAUGACCCAAUUCAUUAGGCACAUUCCUAGUUUACUAUACUUCAUGUAAAAUUUAUACCACCGCAUUACAAGGAUCCCCUUUGCUAUCAUUUCAAUAAGGUAGUUGUCACUGUCCAUUAAGCCCUCAUCAGCAUGUUCUUUGAGACUAAAAUCUACAGCAUGUCCUAGCUACUUCAACUUUUUGCAAACAAUUUCUUCAAAGCUCAUUGUUCAGUUCCAAAGCCACUUCCAUAUGUUAGGGGUUUGUUACUGCUACUUACUGGAAGCGAAACCUACAUUAGUUAUUUAUUACUACAUAAUGCAUUAUCAGCCAACUUUUAGUAUCUCACAAUUUCUGUGAGCUAGGGCCAGAAAUCCAGGUGUACGUUAUGAAACUGAAGAACUCAGCACAUAAAAAGUCUGUCCAAACUUCUGCUCUAAGAGAUGAGCAAACUUUAGCAUGGUUUCUUGCAGCAUAAGGCUGUGUCCCUAGGAUGACCCUGGUCUCCCUCCUCCCAAGUUAAAUCUCUGCCUGAGAAAGCUCAAUGAUACCAAGAGAAUUUGCUGUUUGUUCUAGCCAACACCUGACGAUAGGCCCCUGAUAUCCUUUUCUUAGAGCAUUUACUAAAAAGGACUUAGAAUCAUAAAUUCUUUAUCUACCACUUUGAGGUUUACGUGCAUCUCCUAUAACUCAGAAGUGUCUUUCUGAAGAACCUGAAAGCCAUUCCUUUGAAAUGUAUUCAUAAGAAAGGGUAGGGCUCUUGUCUUCCAGCCUUUGUGGGAGAAUUUGAUUCUUGACUUCAAUAAUUGCCAGCUAGCAAGCAGACACAGCUGGCCUAAUCCAUUAACACUGACCAAACCUUUGUAACUUUCAACUUCUCUGACUCUACUUGAUCCCUACUUGCCCACCUCCCACGUUCUCCCUUUAAAACACCCAGUCACCUCCGCACAAAUUGGAACCGAGCUGAGCUUUCCCCUCCUGUCAGUAGUUACUGAAUAAAAUGUUUUCAAUGCUUCAGCUAAUGUCUGGCUGUGUUUAUGUUUAACACUUAGCUGGGUGCCUCACAUAGUUCUCUCAUGAGGUUAUUGUUGCCUGGAGCUGUCGUUUCAUUAGAGAUUCAACUGAAUGUGUGUGGGAGGAGGGAUGGUCUGAGUUGAAAUUCAUUCAUGUAUUUUUGGCUCUUCCUUGCCUUUUGUUUCUUGACAUGAAAUAUGGCAUCCCCUGGGGUGAGAAUUCUGAGAAAGUACAGGUUAAAGAGUGUCUAAGGGCUCCAUUGUAUGCCCAAAAUGGAAGCCAGUCUAAUUUUACAAGUGACAUCCCAUACCUUCUGCCUUCUUCUGUUAGCAGUGAGUAGAAAGUAUGUAUCAUACUCAAGAAGGGAGCAUGAAAAACUAGAGGGUGGGUGUCACUGAGAGCUUUCUUAGAGGCUGGUUACCACUAUAACCACUCCAUCUAAUACAUUCACUUCUUGUACUUCGUGUAUGGAAGACAUAACAUAACUCACCUUAACGCAGUUGAGAGUCACUGGCGCUUGUUUCUAGAAACAACUGAGUAGCAACUCCAAGUUAUACCACAUAUUUACACCAUAAAUAACUCACCAAUUUGCUUAAUUAAAAUGAUACAAACAAGUAGAAAAUUGAAAACAAACAUGAAAAGUUUUUGGUAGCAAAUAUAGUUCUUAUAAUUACAAAAUCUUAAUGCCA
rnacentral:lncRNA from 1 species